GGAGGGUGCGAGCGUUGUUCGGAAUUACUGGGCGUAAAGCGCGUGUAGGCGGCUACUUAUGUCGGGUGUGAAAGCCCUGGGCCCAACCCAGGAAGUGCGUCCGAAACUGAGUAGCUUGAGUACGAGAGAGGAGGACGGAAUUCCCAGUGUAGAGGUGAAAUUCGUAGAUAUUGGGAGGAACACCGGUGGCGAAAGCGGUUCUCUGGAUCGAUACUGACGCUAAGACGCGAAAGCGUGGGUAGCAAACAGGGAUUAGAUACCCUGGUAGUCCACGCCGUAAACGAUGGAUAUUAGGUGUUGCGGGUGAUCCUCGCAGUGCCGUCGCUAACGCAUUAAAUAUCCCGCCUGGGGGAUACGGCCCGCAAGGUUA
rnacentral:rRNA from 1 species